rnacentral:tRNA from 6 species
AGCGCGUUAACAAAUUGGUUAUGUAGCGGACUGCAAAUCCGUAUAAUCCGGUUCGAUUCCGGAACGCGCUU